GAUGAACGCUGGCGGCGUGCUUAACACAUGCAAGUCGAACGGUGAAAGAGGAGCUUGCUCCUCUGGAUCAGUGGCGAACGGGUGAGUAACACGUGAGUAACCUGCCCCAGACUCUGGGAUAAGCACUGGAAACGGUGUCUAAUACCGGAUACGAGCUUCAGCCGCAUGGCUAGGAGCUGGAAAGAAUUUCGGUCUGGGAUGGACUCGCGGCCUAUCAACUAGUUGGUGAGGUAAUGGCUCACCAAGGCGACGACGGGUAGCCGGCCUGAGAGGGUGACCGGCCACACUGGGACUGAGACACGGCCCAGACUCCUACGGAGGCAGCAGUGGGGAAUAUUGCACAAUGGGCGCAAGCCUGAUGCAGCAACGCCGCGUGAGGGACGACGGUCUUCGGGUUGUAAACCUCCUUUAGUAGGGAAGAAGCGAAAGUGACGGUACCUGCAGAAAAAGCACCGGCUAACUACGUGCCAGCAGCCGCGGUAAU
rnacentral:rRNA from 1 species